rnacentral:rRNA from 1 species
UACAGAGGGGGCAAGCGUUGUUCGGAAUUACUGGGCGUAAAGGGCGCGUAGGCGGCCUGUUAAGUCGAACGUGAAAUCCCCGGGCUCAACCCGGGAACUGCGUCCGAUACUGGCAGGCUUGAAUCCGGGAGAGGGAUGCGGAAUUCCAGGUGUAGCGGUGAAAUGCGUAGAUAUCUGGAGGAACACCGGUGGCGAAGGCGGCUUCCUGGACCGACACUGACGCUGAGGCGCGAAAGCUAGGGGAGCAAACGGG